rnacentral:rRNA from 1 species
UUUCUUGAGAGUUUGAUCCUGGCUCAGGAUGAACGUUGGCGGCGUGCCUUAAGCAUGCAAAUCGAGCGAGCCGCCUCCGCAAGGAGGCGAGCUAGCGGUGGACGGGUGAGUAAUGCGUGGGAAUGUACCUCGAAGUUGGACAUAGCCGGUCGAAAGGUCGGGUAAUUUCCAAUGUGGUCCGACCCUUGGGUCGUGACUAAAGAUUUAUCGCUUCGAGAUCAGCCUGCGUCCUAUCAGCUUGUUGGUGGGGUAAUAGCCUACCAAGGCGACGACGGGUAGCUGGUCUGAGAGGAUGGUCAGCCACAAUGGAACUGCGACACGGUCCAUACACCUACGGGUGGCAGCAACUAGGAAUAUUC